rnacentral:rRNA from 1 species
AUUGAACGCUGGCGGCAGGCCUAACACAUGCAAGUCGAGCGGAUGAAGGGAGCUUGCUCCUGGAUUCAGCGGUGGACGGGUGAGUAAUGCCUAGGAAUCUGCCUGGUAGUGGGGGAUAACGUCCGGAAACGGGCGCUAAUACCGCAUACGUCCUGAGGGAGAAAGUGGGGGAUCUUCGGACCUCACGCUAUCAGAUGAGCCUAGGUCGGAGUAGCUAGUUGGUGGGGUAAAGGCCUACCAAGGCGACGAUCCGUAACUGGUCUGAGAGGAUGAUCAGUCACACUGGAACUGAGACACGGUCCAGACUCCUACGGGAGGCAGCAGUGGGGAAUAUUGGACAAUGGGCGAAAGCCUGAUCCAGCCAUGCCGCGUGUGUGAAGAAGGUCUUCGGAUUGUAAAGCACUUUAAGUUGGGAGGAAGGGCAGUAAGUUAAUACCUUGCUGUUUUGACGUUACCAACAGAAUAAGCACCGGCUAACUUCGUG